ACGGGGGGGGCAAGCGUUGUUCGGAAUUACUGGGCGUAAAGGGCGCGUAGGCGGCCCUCUAAGUCGGACGUGAAAUCCCUCGGCUCAACCGGGGAACUGCGUCCGAUACUGGAGGGCUUGGAUCCGGGAGAGGGAUGCGGAAUUCCAGGUGUAGCGGUGAAAUGCGUAGAUAUCUGGAGGAACACCGGUGGCGAAGGCGGCAUCCUGGACCGGCAUCGACGCUGAGGCGCGAAAGCCAGGGGAGCAAACGG
rnacentral:rRNA from 1 species